CCGACGAGCUGGGCGCGGGAGGGGGCGGGGGGCGGCCUCAGCCCUCUUUCGACCACAGCCACUUGGAACACUUGAGGGUGUGUGUGUGUGUGUUGGGGGGGGGUGCGGGUGUGUGUGUCAGUCUACCUCCUCUUCCUAUUAGGGCUGCGGUGGAGGGGGUGAAGGAGCGAGAAAAAGAAAGGCCGAGUCGCACGGAGCCAGGGGGGUAUAGUCCCAUUUUUAUUCACCUUGGGACACACACACACACACACACACACACACACACACACACGCAGGCACACCAGCGUUCCUCAAACCUAGAGCCCGAAGCCAGACUUGCCCCCCUGUUGAAGUCUCCUUUCACCCUAAGGCAAGUUUCCGGAAUGUGGGUCCCGGUGAUGUAAAGGGUGGCAUUGUCCGGAAGACGACGAAGAGAGAGGAAGCUUUAGGCAGGUUGGAGCAGCGUUGAGAACAGCUCACUCCUCUGGUCUUUCCUUCGAGUUUUUCGAUGAGACACGUCUCUCCUGGCAGGUCUACAGAAUUAGAACGUCGCAGCUGUUGUGGCAAGAACUUCGCAGCCCCGCUCCUCGGGCAGAGAGAAGCCUCUGUUCGCUCACCACGGCUCCCUCUUCCCCUCUCCGCGGCGCUUUCGCUUGGAAACGUGUUUCUCCUUGACGCCGACCACCCACACCCCCCCCCCCGCAACCUCCCCCCCCGCACCCCCAGCGCGCCUUUGCUCGAAAUGGUUACUCCUUUUAGAAAUUGGAAAAUCAAUACUAGUUUAGCUUCUUCCGUGAGAUGA
rnacentral:lncRNA from 12 species